CUACGGGAUGCAGCAGUGGGGAAUAUUGGGCAAUGGGCGCAAGCCUGACCCAGCAACGCCGCGUGAGGGAAGAAGGUUUUCGGAUUGUAAACCUCUGUCCUUGGGGACGAAGAAGUGACGGUACCCAAGGAGGAAGCUCCGGCUAACUACGUGCCAGCAGCCGCGGUAAUACGUAGGGAGCAAGCGUUGUCCGGAAUUACUGGGCGUAAAGGGUGCGUAGGCGGCAUAUUAAGUCAGGUGUGAAAUACUCGGGCUCAACCCGAGGGGUGCAUUUGAAACUGAUAAGCUUGAGUGUGAGAGAGGAAAGUGGAAUUCCUAGUGUAGCGGUGGAAUGCGUAGAUAUUAGGAGGAACACCAGUGGCGAAGGCGACUUUCUGGCUCAUAACUGACGCUGAGGCACGAAAGCGUGGGGAGCAAACAGGAUUAGAUACCCUGGUAGUC
rnacentral:rRNA from 1 species